rnacentral:rRNA from 1 species
AUAGCGUAUAUUAAAGUUGUUGCAGUUAAAAAGCUCGUAGUUGGACUUCUGGGAGGGUGCCACUGUCCGCUUGUUAGCGUGUGCAGCGGCGCCCUUCCAUCCUUCUGUUAACGAUUCUUGGUAUUCACUUACUGGUUUCGGGCUCAGAUAUUUUACCUUGAGAAAAUUAGAGUGUUUCAGGCAGGCUUGCGCCGGAAUACAUUAGCAUGGAAUAAUAGAAUAGGACUUCUGUCUCACAUUUGUUGGUUUGAGGGGCUGAAGUAAUGAUUAAUAGGGAUAGUUGGGGGCAUUAGUAUUUAAUUGUCAGAGGUGAAAUUCUCGGAUUUGUUAAAGACUAACUUAUG